AAAAAAAAUUAUUAUAGUUUAAAAAUUUAUUUUAAAUUUAUUUUACAUAUAAAUUUUAGUGUUAAAUUUAAAUUAUUUAAAAAAUAAUAUUUGAAUUAAAUUAUAGUAAUUAAUAUUAAAUAUUUAAGAAAUUAAGAUUUAGUAAUAUUAAAAUUAAUAACAAAUUUUGUGCCAGCAGUUGCGGUUAAACAAAAAUUAAAUUAAAUUUUUUUAGUUAUUUAAUUAACAAAAAUUAUAUAUAUAUAUAUAUAUAUAUAUAUUUAAUUAAAAAUUUAAAUUAUUAGGUGAAAUUUUAAUUAAAAAAAAAAUUAUUUUUAUAUUUGUAAUUUAAUAAAUUUUAUUUAAAACUAGGAUUAGAUACCCUAUUAUUAAAAUUUAAAUUAUUUAUACUAAAAUAGUAAAUAAUUAUUUAUUGAAACUUAAAUAAAUUGGCGGUAUUUUAGUUCAUUUAGAGGAAUCUGUUUAAUAAUUGAUAAUCCACGAAUAAAUUUACUUAAUUUUGAAAUUUUGUAUAUCGUUGUUAAAAAAAUAUUUUUUAAUAAUAAUAAUAUUUAAAAUUUAUAAUAAUAAGUUAAAUCAGAUCAAGAUGCAGAUUAUAAUUAAGAAUAUAAUGGAUUACAAUAAAUUUAUUUAAAUGGAUAUUAAUUUGAAAAAAUUAAUUUAAAGUGGAUUUAAAUGUAAUUUUAUUUAAUUUAAUAAAAUGAUUAAAAUUUAAAAUAUGUACAUAUUGCCCGUCGCUUUCAUCUAAUAUUAGUUUAAUAUGAAAUUGAAAUAAGUCGUAACAAAGUAGAGGUACUGGAAAGUGUUUCUAGAAAGAA
rnacentral:ncRNA from 1 species